rnacentral:lncRNA from 1 species
GUUUCUGAGGCAGCAGCCAGCGAGAGUGGAGCCCAUAAACAGUCGAAGUCCGAAAGGUAGGAAGGGGAAUCGGAGAGUUGAGCCUUAGAUGACAACGGUAUGUAAAUUUUGUAUCUGUUAUGUCAGUUGUGUGUGCAAGUGGAUUACAAGUGAUUAUACACUUAUACAGUUAUACUGACUUUCCGUCUCAACCAGGCGUUUCUGCACCUUGUAAGAACCAAUGAUUUGCCAUAGGUAAGCCAAUUGCCAGGAAACUGUGUUGACCUCAUGUUCAAUGGACGCAACUUCGAAAAAGUAAGAACGACUAAAAUUGCUUUCGUUUUUUUGAAUAUCUAGAUAUCUGUCAAAUGGAUUUCCCUUCUCUCUUGCUUGGUUAAUUGGUCUGAUGCUGCAUUUAUAAAUAUUUAUAAAUAUUCAACUUUUUUCCGUGACUUAACUCAUUGCUAGAAUCCACAUGAGAUACAUGUAAUUUAUAUAUUUAUUUCUCAAAUUGUUGAAAUAUGUGCUCAGGACUGAUUGGCGCACUUUUAUAUCUAUAUGAUAUGUAAUUUGCAUAAUCUUCAUAGGAACAAAACUUAGUGGAGAUUUAGAACUUCUGUUGCGCUAAAGUAGGUCAGAAAUAGAACAGGCGCGGCCUCACAUCACCAGUAUAACAUGGUUUCUCGAGUGCAUGGUUUGUUUUGCUUCCCACUUUUAAGUUUUGAGUUAGUCCAUGGUUUUAUAAAUUGUUUGCGGUUUGUAUUGGAUAUUUGGAAUGUACACUGUUUGGGGUGUUUGUACUGUAGACCUCCAUCCUCCCCCAGUUACUUACAGGAAGCUCCACUCAUGCAACCUUACAUUCACACACUAUAAUACCACUUCAUAAUUUUAUUUAUAUUAUUAAUAUAAUAUUUAAAAUUUUUAAUAGCCAAAUGCUUCAUCCUACUCUGCUAUGAACCUAUAGACCAUAAUGUGCUUAUAGGUCUCCCCUGGACUUGCAAUUUGUGAAGGGGAAUUCGGCUGAUUCACUGCAUCAGGAAAUCCUUGAGUCUCCAAGCAUAGCCCAGCAUACAGAGGAAGAAGGAUUUGACUGGAAAAAAGAUAAUAAGGUAAUUUUGUUUGCUCUUGUCAAUUAUGUUUGAGGAUAUAUGCAAUUGUUUUGCGUAUUGUGACUGGUACCGAGUUGAGAACCCUAACAAAUGAGCUGUGUAAUUAAUCCCAUAUACUUAUUUGCAUCAAUAUAAUUGUCGGUAGUUGUGUUUAACACUUGAAAUGUAUGAGCAGAUAUAUAAAUUGAAUUAAUUCUAGAUGAGAUUAUGGGAGCAGUUUAUACCAGUGGAGUGCAACUCUAUUCUAAGAAGUAAGAGUUCUAAAUUUUGAACAAAAAUCUAAUAGCUGUAAAAUUUUAUAAAGAUUUUCGGUUUCAGUUUUUGUUGAAUAAAGAGCUUUAUCAUUAUUUCCACGCCAUAGUUACUCAAAUAUCAGAUGUAGAAAAGGAACUUUUUGGCAAACCUCUUGUGGAUGUUAUAUAUCUGUAUAUACAGUGGAAAAACUGUUUUAUCUUUGAUUUCACAAUUUAAGUCAGCUGAUCUGCAUGCUUUGUAACUUCUUAUGUUUAUAGGCAAAGAAGUAUUUAUUAAAACGAAAACUACAGACCAACCUGUAAUAUACAUUAAACUAAUAUUUCCCACUUUUGUACUUCAAAAAAACACGUUCCCUUUUUCAGUCUGGAUGACCGUUUUCAUUGUAAUACACAAAUGCAAGUGAGCUUCUAAUAAGAGAAAGAGAUAGUGUUACAUAUAUAUUAGUAUAUUACUCUUGUCUUUUCUUUUCUUUUUAUAUAAAGUCAGGUGUCCAGUUAAUCAUUCACGGAGCAAUGAACGUAUAGCUUAACUUUUAUGAUUUUUAAUUAAUUGCAUUAUUACUAUACUGUAACAAUUUAUACAUAGAUCAGCUUAAAUGAACUUGAGACUUCUGUGAAAAGUAAUUUAGACAGGGUACUUCCUCCAUUUUUUUCAUAGGUCGUUUGAGUUUUUGAGACUUUAUUGACUAUCUAUUUGAAAUUAUUAUUUUUGCUCUCUUAAAAGUAUACAAUAAUUAUUAUAAUUCUAUAUGCAUCAGGCAUGUCACCUUAAUUUUUGAUCGAAUGAAAGAAGCAAAUUAGAAGAAUAGUUAGAACUGCAAGAAUUCUUUGUUGACUCUUGAUGGCAGUUAUUCUGAGAUACCAAAAGUUAAAGUGAGCUUAUAUACAAUGGCAGUUGGACAAAGUUAUCUGAGUGUCUGAGUAACAAAUAUGAAGUACUAUUUGACCAGAAAAUCUAAGUACACAGCUCAGAUUUGUGGUUUAUUCUAAUUGUUUGGUGUGUAACAUGGUUACAAAGAUGAACAUGGCAAGAAAUCAUUAAUUAAUUAGUCAAAUAUGAUAUAAGUGUUGUAGAAAAUUGAAUAUCAAAAUAGUAAAUGAUUUGUAAAUGUUUAUUGUAGACUACUAUAUAACUUCUACUUCAAAUUUAUAUUGCUUUUACUGAAGUUUCAAGUUUGGUCCAGCGUGUUCUUUUCUAGAUUAUGAUUUACCCAAUUAUGGCUAUGCCUUCCGGAACCUUUUCAUCUUACUUACCUAAUAAUUUCAGCAACAUCCUUUGUUUAAAUUAAAGAUUUUUGGUUUUAGUUUUUGUUUGAAAGAAGUGGAAGGGGAGACUAAAGAUAUGGUGGCUGUGUGUUUUAUUUGGGACAGAAGAAGAAGGAUUUGACUGGAAAAAAGAUGAUGAGGUAAUUUUGUUUGGUCUUGUCAGUAAUGUUGGGGGAUAUAUGCAAUUGUUUUGAGUAUUGUGACUGGUACCAAGUUGAGAACUCUAAAAAAUAGUCCUCCUCGAAUAACUCACAAUUGCUCCUGCUUUCCUAAUUAUUAGUAUGCUUAUUUUUCUGAUACUAAGACCUAUAAAAUGAUAUGAGCGUGAUAUAUGUCCAUGAUUUUACCAUUUAAACAAUCUAUGGGGCUUGAUUUGAACAAUAUGAAUUUAAGUCGGUGUAAUUUUCUACUUAUUUGGACUUGCACUUGCAUUGUUCGACUCCCUUGAUUGUUAUUUUUCAUCACAUGUAUGAUCUUUAAUUCUACUCAUUUAGAUUUAAUUUUUAAACUAUAUUUUGUCUCAGGGUUUUGGAUCUCGAUGUGCAAGACAAGGGUGGCUCCUUCAAUUUGCUUGUGUUCAACUGCUAUAUUGAAUGUUUACCUAAUGCGCCAGUCAAAAAAAAAAUCUCAAAGGGAUGAGUUUAUCUUCUGCUUCUAUAUCUGGAUAAGCACAAAAUGAGUGGACUCAUUCAGAAUUAUGUUGUCGUUAUUUUUAUAUCAGAUUCUAAUUCGCAAAAAAUCUAAGAAAGUCUUGUCUUUACAUCGAGACGUAUUUUGAU